UGAGGUGGGGAAUAUUCCGCAAUGGACGAAAGUCUGACGGAGCGACGCCGCGUGGAUGAUGAAGGCCGAAAGGUUGUAAAGUCCUUUUGCAGGGGAAGAAUAAUCUCUGGGAGGGAAUGCCCGCAUGAUGACAUGACCCGGCGAAUAAGCCCCGGCCAACUACGUGCCA
rnacentral:rRNA from 1 species